rnacentral:rRNA from 1 species
GACGAACGCUGGCGGCGUGCCUAAUACAUGCAAGUCGAACGAAGAGACGAGGAGCUUGCUCCUCUCACGUUAGCGGCGGACGGGUGAGUAACACGUGGAUAACCUACCUAUAAGACGGGGAUAACUUCGGGAAACGGGAGCUAAUACCGGAUAAUAUAGUGAACCGCAUGGUUCUUUAGUGAAAGACGGUUUUGCUGUCACUUAUAGAUGGAUAGCGGCGUCUUUGGCUGGUUGGUAAGGUAACGGCCUACCAAGGCAACGAUGCGUAGCCAACUUGAGAGGGGGGUCGCCCACCUGGGACGGUGAACACGGCCAAGGCUCCUGCGGUAGGCGCCAGAAGGAAACCUUCGGCAAUGGGCGAAAGCCUGACGGACCAGCGCGCCGUGAGUAAUAAAGGUCUCGGGAUCGUAAGACUCUGUUUUUGGUGAUAAACAAAUGUGGAAGUAACUAUGCACGUCUUGACGGUACCUGAUCAGAAAGCCACGGCUAACUACGUG